AGUCACUGACAUUAGAUACCCCGGUAGUCCUAGCCGUAAACGAUACUCGCUAGGUGUCGGCCACGGUGCGACCGUUGUCGGUGCCGUAGGGAAGCCGUGAAGCGAGCCACCUGGGAAGUACGGCCGCAAGGCUGAAACUUAAAGGAAUUGGCGGGGGAGCACAACAACGGGUGGAGCUUGCGGUUUAAUUGGAUUCAACGCCGGAAAUCUUACCGGGACCGACAGCAACAUGAAGGCCAGACUGAAGACUUUGCCGGAUUAGCUG
rnacentral:rRNA from 1 species